CUCACCCAGAAAUAAGUUAGUAAUAUUUCAAUAAAAUGUAUUUCUGAUUAUAAUAGAUAAUGAGACCUUCCCUUUUCUCUCUGUAUUUACUAUAGAUGUUAAUUCUGUCGAAGUACUAAAAAAAGAAAAAGUUGGGUAGAGCACCAUGCCGAGGCUAAGGUUUGAACUCAGAGCCUUAUGAGGAUACGGCAGGUCUCUUCCCCACUGCGUGUUUAGGGCACUCCUUGGAUUAUUGUAGAGAUUUUUUUUUGUAGUACUGACAAAAAUUUUAAAAAUUUCUACUGGUCCCCACGGACCAAAGUAGACGCGAAGCGUCUACUUGUUACAAUACGCUUCGCGUAUUGUAAGAACGCAUCCAUCUAAAUUGAGGGAUUUUCGGACCCUGCGUCACAUAAACGUUAAUAACUUUGCUUCUAUGGCGAGUUUUUUUUUCUGCUUUUCACCGUUUUAUGUGGGAAGGUUGAGGCUACGUGAUGAUGUAAAUUUUUUUUGGCCACGCCGCCCCGAAGGGGCGGGCGUGGCAAAAAACUGCUUUUUUCGCGAAAAUAGGGUCCAUGAUCGGUGGGGGAAAAGUGACUGAACCGAAUUUAUUGAAACUCAUUGACGUUAAAGCCCUCUAUGGAAGGCAGUGCAGAAAGAAAGCUUUUUAAGAUAAACCCUCUAGAAGUGGGAUUUUUCUGUGAAUGAAAAUUGAACUUUUUGCGCGGUACCUCGCUGACUUAAACAGUUGUGGGGCCUAAACAGUAACGUUCUUAACAAUGCGGAUAAAACAGCCCUUUUCUGCGUGAAUGUAGCUAUCUUUUUUGUUAAAACAAUUUUUUUCAAAAAGCAACUGCUUCCGAGAUGAGCGAGCUCAAACGUAAAGUUUUUUUUUUCGAAAAAAAAAAAGUGAAUUUUUCGAGAAAUGAUUUUUUUUCUACUAGUAAAAAAUUUUUAUAAUUUUUUUUGUUUACACUAUUUAAAAGCCUAAUCCUUUAGGAUUAAAUAGAGGUAUUAUUCAUGGUGCUACGUAUUAUACGGGGUGAGCUGUGUUAACAAAUAUAAACCCCUUUUUGAGCCUUUUUUUGACCGUUUUUUUCUACUUUUCUUAAUAACUCUUUAUUGGCGGCACCUACAAAUUUCAAACUUUCAGCAUUUUAAGAACUUUUUAAAUCCUAUUUUUCGACAUAGUCUACAGUCUUCUACGUAGAGCAGUUUUUGCUCUACACCUUUUUUUAACUUUGACGCUUUAUACCGGCAUACCUAUGACACCUACGGAAACCAUUUUUUUUCUGAAAUCACCGGACACUAUCUGGCUAUAAUCCACUAAAAAACGUUUUUCUUCAAAUGUUACCGUUUUUCCGCAACGAGCUGUUAUUUAAGAAAAACCCCCAAAAAUAAGCCGUUCCAAUCAACCAGUCAUACCCUCGAGACACAGGGAGCCAGCUCAUGGUACAAUAACGUUGGCGGUCCAGCACCAAAUUGACCCAAUGUAAAGGCAUACGGACGACGUCACUAUCGAGUCGCACAUGGCCAGAUGACGUAAGCGCGGGGUUUUCGGGGUAUUGUGGCGGCAAAUUCGGCCCGUUUGCGCUACGAGUUAGAGUAGGAAAAGCGGUUUGAGAGAAGGAUGGAGGAUGUCUGGCAACAAUUAUAAACGCGUCGUGUUCGUCUCGUGACGUCAUGAGUUAUUUUAUUAAUGAAUAUUAUUAGUAUUAUGGGGACAAUUUUACGCGGUUUCUUGAUAAAUUACUGGGAUAAAUAAAAUGAAUAUAAAUAUUAAUAAAUAUAUAUUUGAAAUAUACAGAGGGUAUUGAUAUUACGGAACAUUUAUGAGGAUAAUAAUAGUAUGGAAAUAGAAUUAUACCGGGGGUUUUAAGGUAGAGGGCAUAAAUAAGGAAAAUAUUAUUUGUCUUAAUAGUAAUCGGAAUAUACCGGGGGUUUUAAGGUUUUAAGGCAUUUAUAAGGAAAAUAAUAUUUAUAAUUAUAGUAAUAUUAAUCUACAGGGUGUUUUAAAGUUUAAGUGCAUUAAUAAGGAGAAUAUUAUAUAUAAUAAAAGUAAUAUUAAUCGUCAGCAUAUUUUAGGGUUUUAGUGCUUUCAUAAGGAAAAUAUUAUUUAUAAUUAUAGUAAUCGUAUUAUAAAGGGUGUUUUAAGGUUUAAGGACAUUUACAAGAAAGAUAAUAUUUAUAAUAAUAGUAAUAGCAGCAUAAAGGUUAGGACAAGGUAUAAAUAUCUGGAAAAAAAAUAAUAGUGAUAAUAGUUUUAUUUUAGUAGGGUUCUUUUAGUGGGGGUUGCUAAAUUGAUAAUAAAUUUAUAUUAAUAGUUUAUCAAUUUAGAAAAAAAAGACAUUGAUGCGGUGUCAAAAAAAGUUGUAUUUUUAUAUUUUUUUACUAUAUUAUUGAGAUCACGGCUUUCAUAGCUUCAAUUCAAUAAGUUGAUAAAUUUUUUUAUUCGUUUUUUUUUCCUUAAAUUUUUUUUAUUUUAUUAUAAUUGCCUUUUAAAAUAAAAAUUUAAAAAAAAACAAGAAACAAACCACUUUUUCCUAUCCUAAUACAUUGCUUCUUAUGGGACCUGAUCUUCCUCUUUAGAUUGUGACACUCGUAUGAAUCGUGGAAAAAUUCGUCAUAAAGCUUUUUUACUAGUUUUUGAAUGGUCUUUAACCAGAAAAAAGAAAUUUUGAAUUUGGAGCAUAUUUUGAAAAAAUGGUCAUUUUGACCCCGGAUUUUGUUCGAAAAUCGAAAAUUGCAAAGAAAUAGGGUUUCUGUUCAUUUUAGAGUCAAAUUGGUAAUAACCAUUUUUAAAGGUACUCUGGAGUAGUGCAAGAUAGAAAAAUAAAAAAUUGACAUUUUUCCAUAGGACUCUUGAUAAUUCGAUAUUUAUGUUUUACAGUUUUAUUCAAUUUUCUCCGAUUCUAUAAUAGCUAGAACCAAUUCGUUUUGACAGGCCAAUACCUCUUAAUAUACCCAAGAACUUUUAUUUAUUACAAAAAGUUGUCAGAGUUAUAGUUUAUUUAUAAAAAAAUAAAAACCAUUUUUUCGAAAUUUUUCGUGGGUAUACCCCUUUCGAUUUUUGACCAAAAAAAAAAUUAUUUUUUUAUUGAGUUUUUUUACUGGAAAUUGUUAGUUUAGGGCUUACUUUAAA